rnacentral:rRNA from 1 species
UACGUAGGGUGCGAGCGUUAAUCGGAAUUACUGGGCGUAAAGCGUGCGCAGGCGGCUUUGCAAGACAGAUGUGAAAUCCCCCGGGCUCAACCUGGGAACUGCAUUUGUGACUGCAUGGCUAGAGUACGGUAGAGGGGGAUGGAAUUCCGCGUGUAGCAGUGAAAUGCGUAGAUAUGCGGAGGAACACCGAUGGCGAAGGCAAUCCCCUGGGACCUGUACUGACGCUCAUGCACGAAAGCGUGGGGAGCAAACAGG